AUGGGAUUCACUUCUCUUGUUGUUUAUUCCCUUCUCUUGUUGUUUAUUCCAUUCUCUUGUUGUUUAUUCCCUUCUCUUGUUGUUUAUUCCCUUCUCUUGUUGUUUAUUCCCUUCUCUUGUUGUUUAUUCCCUUCUCUUGUUGUUUAUUCCCUUCUCUUGUUGUUUAUUCCCUUCUCUUGUUGUUUAUUCCCUUCUCUUGUUGUUUAUUCCCUUUUCUUGUUGUUUAUUCCCUUCUCUUGUUGUUUAUUCCCUUCUCUUGUUGUUUAUUCCCUUCUCUUGUUGUUUAUUCCCUUCUCUUGUUGUUUAUUCCCUUCUCUUGUUGUUUAUUCCCUUCUCUUGUUGUUUAUUCCCUUCUCUUGUUGUUUAUUCCCUUCUCUUGUUGUUUAUUCCCUUCUCUUGUUGUUUAUUCCCUUCUCUUGUUGUUUAUUCCCUUUUCUUGUUGUUUAUUCCCUUCUCUUGUUGUUUAUUCCCUUCUCUUGUUGUUUAUUCCCUUCUCUUGUUGUUUAUUCCCUUCUCUUGUUGUUUAUUCCAUUCUCUUGUUGUUUAUUCCCUUCUCUUGUUGUUUAUUCCCUUCUCUUGUUGUUUAUUCCCUUCUCUUCUUGUUUAUUCCCUUCUCUUGUUGUUUAUUCCCUUCUCUUGUUGUUUAUUCCCUUCUCUUGUUGUUUAUUCCAUUCUCUUGUUGUUUAUUCCCUUUUAUUGUUGUUUAUUCCCUUCUCUUGUUGUUUAUUCCCUUCUCUUGUUGUUUAUUCCAUUCUCUUGUUGUUUAUUCCCUUCUCUUGUUGUUUAUUCCCUUCUCUUGUUGUUUAUUCCCUUCUCUUCUUGUUUAUUCCCUUCUCUUGUUGUUUAUUCCCUUCUCUUGUUGUUUAUUCCCUUCUCUUGUUGUUUAUUCCCUUCUCUUGUUGUUUAUUCCCUUCUCUUGUUGUUUAUUCCCUUCUCUUGAUGUUUAUAACCCUUCUCUUGUUGUUUAUUCCCUUCUCUUGUUGUUUAUUCCCUUCUCUUGAUGUUUAUUCCCUUCUCUUGUUGUUUAUUCCCUUUUCAUAUUGUUUAUUCCCUUCUCUAAUUGUUUAUUCCCUUCUCUUGAUGUUUAUUCCCUUCUCUUGUUGUUUAUUCCCUUCGCUUGUUGUUUAUUCCCUUUUCAUAUUGUUUAUUCCCUUCUCUAAUUGUUUAUUCCCUUCUCUUGAUGUUUAUUCCCUUCUCUUGAUGUUUAUUCCCUUCUCUUGUUGUUUAUUCCCUUUUCAUAUUGUUUAUUCCCUUCUCUAA
rnacentral:lncRNA from 8 species